UGUUAUGGUGAUAAUUGCGAUUAUCUGGAGUGUUGUUGCAAGUUAUCUUAAUUGGUCGGCAGUUUUAUUGCAUCAGAGAUAAGGCAAUAUUGAAAUAUGCCGACUUUGCGCUUAAAUGUGAAGUGUUUGUCACAGUGUUCGAAGCAGAUUCAAGACCAUUAAAUUGACAACAAUGACAAUCAAAAAGAAUACCAUAGAGCUUAUGAAGCACCAAUACUGUGGCAACAUAUUCAGGCUGCUAAGAAGGUGUCAAUCAACAAGAGUUACAACUGAUUGAAUGUGCCUUUAUUUAAUGAACAAUUUUAAAUGUGUUGUUAUUAUAAAUACUACUGUUAUUAAAUCAAUUCCUUUAACAUAC